UUAAGUAUAUGAGGUGAUUAAUUGGAGGGCAAAUCAAGUGCCAGCAGCCGCGGUAAUACUUGUUCCAAGAGUGUGUAUGAUGAUUGAUGCAGUUAAAAAGUCCGUAGUUUAUUUUUUUAAAACAUUAGGUGUAGUAAUUGGAAAAAAGGCACCCA
rnacentral:rRNA from 1 species